rnacentral:rRNA from 1 species
UACGUAGGGGGCGAGCGUUGUCCGGAAUGAUUGGGCGUAAAGGGCGCGCAGGCGGCCUGUCAAGUCAGUAGUGGAAGUCCAUUUUUCAAGGAUGGAAGUGCUAUAGAAACUGAUGGGCUUGAGUGCAGGAGAGGUUAUCGGAAUUCCCGGUGUAGCGGUGAAAUGCGUAGAGAUCGGGAGGAACACCAGUGGCGAAGGCGGCUUACUGGACGAUUACUGACGUUGAGGCUCGAAAGCGUGGGGAGCAAACAGGAUUAGAUACCCCUGUA